CAGAACAUGACAAUACGGUUGCUAAAGGUGACAGUUUUAACAGAUUUAUUCCUGCAACAGAACCUCCUAACUCCAACCUAAAGUUCUCAACUUUACCUUCAACUUAAACAUUGUUAGAAAGAAUCAGGAUUAGGUCGUUCAGGCAGUAAGAUUUGUUAAAUUGUUCAACUAUUUGUUUUAAAUUCAUUUUUGACUCUGUAAUUCCAAUUCGCUAAGAUCCUUCUUUUGAACCCAGACGGAAACCUUUCUUCCCCAAAGUCACACUGGUAUGUAUUUGACCUGACGACCCCCUGGUCGCCUGCUGCCUCCGUCUAAAUCUAUGCAGAAGAAAACCUCUGAGACGUUCUCGUCAAAAUCAACUUCAUUGUUCGUUGGCUCAAAAGGACCUGUCAACUUUCCAUGCGUUUCAGUUUCCUUGUGGACAUUAUGUGGCCCUGGUGGACAAAGCAAGAUGGAACAUGGGGCAGAGGCAGAGAAAGAAAAGGAACGUUGUUUUCCCCCCAGUGGACUGAGUCAGGAAGCGUUCCCUCGACUUCAGUCGACCCACUGUGGGAAUUACACAGUGCCAGUGUUUAUAGGCCAAACUUCCCCCCAGCCUCCUUAAUACAAUAAGCUGUAAUUUACACCCGCUAUUACCUCCAGAGAGAUGGCUGUUGUGUGGCCCCGUCCCCUGCGGAAAGCCACCUAUUAUCCUCGCUGUCACAAAAGCUAACGUUGAUCAUGAGGUUCAAGCAGUGAAAGAAUGAUGCUGGAAAACAAGAUGUUUGUCAGCAGAGGAAGCAGAGGGCAACUGCAGUUCAGCCGACUGAAUAAAAAAGUACAUUUAAAGUUUA